rnacentral:rRNA from 1 species
ACGCUCGACACCUACGGGAGGCAGCAGUUAGGAAUAUUGGGCAAUGGAGGAAACUCUGACCCAGCAACGCCGCGUGAAGGAAGAAGGUUUUCGGAUUGUAAACUUCUGAUCUAGGGGAAGAAGGAAGUGACGGUACCCUAGGAGAAAGCCACGGCUAACUACGUGCCAACAGCCGCAGUAAUCUGAGCGGGCUGGCAAGGC